rnacentral:rRNA from 1 species
AGUGAACGCUGGCGGUAGGCCUAACACAUGCCAGUCGAACGGCAGCACAGUAAGAGCUUGCUCUUACGGUUGGCGAGUGGCGGACGGGUGAGGAAUACAUCGGAAUCUACUUUUUCGUGGGGGAUAACGUAGGGAAACUUACGCUAAUACCGCAUACGACCUACGGGUGAAAGCAGGGGAUCUUCGGACCUUGCGCGAUUGAAUGAGCCGAUGUCGGAUUAGCUAGUUGGCGGGGUAAAGGCCCACCAAGGCGACGAUCCGUAGCUGGUCUGAGAGGAUGAUCAGCCACACUGGAACUGAGACACGGUCCAGACUCCUACGGGAGGCAGCAGUGGGGAAUAUUGGACAAUGGGCGCAAGCCUGAUCCAGCAAUACCGCGUGGGUGAAGAAGGCCUUCGGGUUGUAAAGCCCUUUUGUUGGGAAAGAAAAGCAGCAGGUUAAUACCCCGCUGUUCUGACGGUACCCAAAGAAUAAGCACCGGCUAACUUCGUG